rnacentral:misc_RNA from 1 species
GGAAGGAUCAUUACCGAAGUACAGGCCCUUUUAUAGGGCUACACUUCCACCCUUUGUUUACCAUUCUUUGUUGCUUUGGCGAGACGUCCUCGGACCACUGGCCCUCGGGCUGGUGCGCGCUCGCCAGAGGAAAAUCAAACCCAAACCAUUUUAGUGUCGUCUGAGAAACAAGUUUAAUUAUUAAAACUUUCAACAACGGAUCUCUUGGCUCUGGCAUCGAUGAAGAACGCAGCGAAAUGCGAUAAGUAAUGUGAAUUGCAGAAUUCAGUGAAUCAUCGAAUCUUUGAACGCACAUUGCGCCCCUUGGUAUUCCGGGGGGCAUGCCUGUUCGAGCGUCAUUAUCACCCCUCAAGCUCAGCUUGGUGUUGGGGCCUGCCCGUCACAGGGCAGCCCUUAAAAGCAGUGGCGGUGCCAUCUGGCUCUACGCGUAGUAAUACUUCUCGCGACAGAGUCCCGGUGGUGUCCUGCCAGAACCCCCCAUAUUUUUAAUGAUUGACCUCGGAUCAGGUAGGGAUACCCGCUGAACUUAAGCAUAUCAAUAAGCGGAGGAAAAGAAACCAACAGGGAUUGCCUCAGUAACGGCGAGUGAAGCGGCAAAGCUCAAAUUUGAAAUCUGGCUCUUUCAGGGUCCGAGUUGUAAUUUGUAGAAGAUGCUUUGGGUGUGGCUCUGGUUUAAGUUCUUUGGAAUAUUACAUCAUAGAGGGUGAGAAUCCCGUAUGUGACCAGUCGCCGCGCCCGUGUAAAGCUCUUUCAACGAGUCGAGUUGUUUGGGAAUGCAGCUCAAAAUGGGAGGUAUAUUUCUUCUAAAGCUAAAUAUUGGCCAGAGACCGAUAGCGCACAAGUAGAGUGAUCGAAAGAUGAAAAGCACUUUGGAAAGAGAGUUAAACAGUACGUGAAAUUGUUGAAAGGGAAGCGCUUGCAACCAGACUUGCACGCGGUUGAUCAUCCGGGGUUCUCCCCGGGGCACUCUGCCGCGUUCAGGCCAGCAUCGUUUUUGGUGGUUGGAUAAAGGCCUUGGGAAUGUAGCUUCUUUCGGGGAGUGUUAUAGCCCUCGGUGCAAUGCAGCCUACCGGGAACGAGGACCGCGCUUCGGCUAGGAUGCUGGCGUAAUGGUUGUAAGCGGCCCGUCUUGAAACACGGACCAAGGAGUCUAACAUCUAUGCGAGUGUUUGGGGUGUCAAACCCAUACGCGUAAUGAAAGUGAACGGAGGUGAGAACCCUUAAGGGUGCAUCAUCGACCGGUCCUGAUGUCUUCGGAUGGAUCUGAGUAAGAGCAUAGCUGUUGGGACCCGAAAGAUGGUGAACUAUGCGUGAAUAGGGUGAAGCCAGAGGAAACUCUGGUGGAGGCUCGCAGCGGUUCUGACGUGCAAAUCGAUCGUCAAAUUUGCGCAUAGGGGCGAAAGACUUAUCGAACCAUCUAGUAGCUGGUUCCUGC